rnacentral:rRNA from 1 species
AUGGGAACGCGAAGAACCUUACCUAGACUUGACAUCUCCUGAAUAGUGUAGAGAUACAUGAAGCCCUUCGGGGCGAGGAAGACAGGUGGUGCAUGGUUGUCGUCAGCUCGUGUCGUGAGAUGUUGGGUUAAGUCCCGCAACGAGCGCAACCCUUAUUACUAGUUGCUACCAUUAAGUUGAGCACUCUAGUGAGACUGCCCGGGUUAACCGGGAGGAAGGCGGGGAUGACGUCAAAUCAUCAUGCCCCUUAUGUCUAGGGCAACACACGUGCUACAAUGGUGAGUACAGAUAGAUGCGAUACCGCAAGGUGGAGCCAAACUCCAAAACUCAUCCCAGUUCGGAUUGUAGGCUGCAACUCGCCUACAUGAAGUUGGAGUUGCUAGUAAUCGCGAAUCAGAAUGUCGCGGUGAAUACGUUCCCGGGUCUUGUACACACCG